AACACAAACAAAACGUGGGGCUGCAGGUUGGCGUCUGUGACUAAACACAGGUUGGGUACAAGUAUCCUGGGAAUGAACGAGGUCACUAAAGUGGACGUGACUUUAGAGACGAAUGUCCCCACACUGUACCAGGUGGACCAGGAGAUUGCCAACGAGGCGGCGCCGAGCUCCCGCUUUCCACCGGCCCACUUGGCACGCUCACGGUCCCAGAAUGCACUGCGCACUGCCGUCCCAGCGGCUGUUGGCAUCACUGAAUACAAAGGAGUUCAGAAUGAAGAGAUCCUGAAGGAUGAGCUGCCGGUCCUUGGUGCCCCGGACACCAUGGAGAAGACUGCCAGCAGGUCACACACACACACACACACACACACACACACACACACACACACACACACACACACAGCGGCCUUUGCUUCAUGUAAAUGUAUCAUUCACAUGCCAAAUGAAGCUGUGAUGAAGGGAAACGUGGAAGAGGAGCUUUGCUUGCUGCCUUUGCUAAACAGAUGGUGUCCUUUACUUUAAGUUUUACUCGCCACACAUAGAACAGGCUUUACGCUUCCUUUCAUGGCGUUCUAGCCAAUUGUUUAGAAGGUGCUUUGAGACGGGACUUCAACCCACAAUCUACGUCCACUGAGUGAGACAGAACCCAGUUAGAAACGAGCGCUGCAGCUUUCUUUGCAGUGACAUUAACUGUGAAACUGCUGAUUUGACUUUGACAUUACCAACUGCACUGCCAUGUAAUAUGGGCGCACGUAUUAUACAGCCCACAUUGUGCUAAUCACUCCCAAACCAUCUGUGGGAGAUAUAUUCUAUCUAUAGAUUGUACAGCUCCCCAGUCCAGCGUUUGGGACGGUCUGAAUGGAGGGCAGAUGCUGCUGGGCCUCUAUGUGUUGCAGGUCGCGCUGUCUUGUGAAGCAGCUGGAAAGGGGGGAGGCAUCUGUGGUGGAGCUGAAGAGAAACCUGGACUACGCCGCCUCAGUCCUAGAAGCUCUGUGCAUUGAGGAAGCCAGGCGAGAGAUUUCACUUCUGCUUUUCUCAAAUAAUCCAUGAACAUGAAGAAAAAGGGAUUUUAAAAUUAUUUUCUUGAAUUCUUUCACGAUCGGCAGCUAAAUAGACCUUUGAGCAGAGGUGGAGGAGCACGUAGAGAAAUGGCCAAACGCAAACGUUUGUCUUAAAAAACCAACCUGUGGAGCAGAGGAGUCCACAAAAGGUACAACAAUCCAAAGAAUCCAAGGGGAAACAUUGAAGUGUGAAAGCAGAAAGCAGGGUGAGGUUCAGGUUAACACAUCAUCCUCAUGCACGCAGGACUUUAUGGACACAAAGGGUUUCUUCCCGUCGGCAGUCGGCUCAUCAACAGAGCGCGGCUCCCCCAGCGUUUUAAUGGCACACGGUACUGGGCCAUUCCAGUAGCACGGUGGCUUCCUCACUCAUUUAUAAAUCACAACGGGAUCAUUUACACACAAGCUACGUCGUCUUAAGCAUUUUUAAGCUAAAGUAAAGCACUCUAAAGAUCUUAAGACUAUAUUAACUGCAAUACCCCGUAAAUUGGUGAAAGGCAAUUAAAUAUUAUAUGUUAGUAAGUAAGAUCGUCCAUGGAUGAUAAAUAAAUGACAAUUACAUUAUCAUUCAUUCAUAUUAUUUUACUACUAAUUAGUAUUUAAAUGAUUCCAUUAAGUCUAUGUGUAUGUUUUUGUAAUAUAUUUAAUUUAACGAGUAACUCGUGGCUCAAUACGGUUUCCAAGUUUCUAACCCAGAAUUGUUUAAAUUCUUGCUGCACAAUGUUGCGAGCCUUAUUCCUUAUAGGACAGUGGGACCCUGCACAUGAAUACAGAAGACCAGCAGGCAGUUACUAGUUAGUUACACAAAAGAUGGCCGACCUGAAGGUAAACCAGUAGUCAACUC